UCCUCGUUUAAGCGAGGCAGUCUGUCCAGAGUGCUUCCUACUCUCGUAGGAGUGGCAACAGGACACAAGGGUUGCGCUCGUUGCGGGACUUAACCCAACAUCUCACGACACGAGCUGACGACAGCCAUGCAGCACCUGUGUAAGCUCCCCUUGCGGGGUCGUUACUCUUUCAAGCUUCUACCACCUACAUGUCAAGGCCAGGUAAGGUUCUUCGCGUUGCAUCGAAUUAAGCCACAUACUCCACCGCUUGUGCAGGCCCCCGUCAAUUUCUUUGAGUUUUAAUCUUGCGAUCGUACUUCCCAGGCGGCACGUUUAUCGCGUUGGCUACGCCACAAAAGGGGUCGAUUCCUUUUACAGCAAACGUGCACCGUUUACGGCUAGGACUAC
rnacentral:misc_RNA from 1 species